rnacentral:tRNA from 1 species
GGGAAUGUGGCCUAGUGGUAGAGUGCUUGCCUUGAAUGCAUGAAGCCCUGGGUUCGAUUCCUCAGUACCA